rnacentral:rRNA from 1 species
UCGCUCCUACCGAUUGAGUGUUCCGGUGAAUAAUUCGGACUGCGGCAGCUUGGGGAUCCUUCAGGCUACUACGGAAAGUUUAGUGAACCUUAACACUUAGAGGAAGGAG